GGCCAAGUGGUGCAACUGGUAGACACGCGACGCUCAGAACGUCGCGCCCUUCGUGGGCUUGGGAGUUCGACCCUCCCCUUGGUCA
rnacentral:tRNA from 1 species